GUGCCUGUGGUGGUGAUUGCACGCGCCGCCGCUGCCUGCGACGCCGCCACGCCUACAUCGCCAUCCUACCUCCCGCGACGCCAACUGCUUCGAGAAUGUCGAUCAAAUCGGCGAGCGAACCUACGGGCUGUCAAUAUGGCGACGAGACGUAGACGAACGAGAUCCGCGCGAGUAUAGGGUUGGCCUCCAGGCACGGGCGCGAGAGGCGUGAAUGUCGGGUCGCUGAUCCCUCCAGCGACCAGCCUCCACAAGCUCCCCAAGUGCCCGGUCUGCACCAGUUCCAUGAAUCCCCCGAUCCACCAGGCAAUUCAAGGACAAGUGUCACUUAAAAAGGAGUCACUAGAAAAAGUUGAAGCUGAAGUAAAGAUUGGAGAUAUUUUAUUUCAAAUUAUCAUCUGUUAAGUGCCAGUCUCUCUGUUCUUCUACAAUUUAAAUAGUUGGAUUUAGUAGUGUCAGUUCAGAUGGAGAAAGUCAAGAAGGAAUGGUCAACUGAACUUGACGAUCUGGAGAUCCACAAUGCUAUUCUGUUGGUAUGCUUUUGCUCAGAAGGGGGUCUUUCUGUCCAGUAAACAAAUGAUUAAUUGUAUCUCAGUUCUAUAUUGAUUCCUACUGGCAUCUCUAUGUUAUCAGAUGCAUUAUUUGUUCAUUUUAAUAUUGAUUAUUUCUGCAUAUGUGUUUAAACAAAUGGUUUAGGUGGUACUUCAGAUAGAUUUGUAAAUAUAACUAUAUAGGAAGUUUUAACUCCAUCGAUGGUUGAAUUCUAAAUGCCUCGGGCAUGCAGCAAUAGUAUUAAAUUUCAUACAAAGUUUUUUCUUGCAAUGUAUUUUUCUUAAGAAGUUGUUAACAUGACUAAUAAAAAAUAUAGGAGUUUCUGUUGCAUUUGGAAAGUCGCUUGAUAAUUUAAGAGAAAUUGGUAAAGUGAUUAGUGAAGAGGAAUUCAGUGUUAUGUCAUGUGGAUUUGAUGAGCUAAAUUGCGAUACAAGUGCCAGAGUCUCAUGCCUAUUCUAAUUAAUCAGGCAACAUAUGCAAUAUAUCUAGCAUUUCACACAGUAUUAGAAUUAAAUCCAAAAAUGCCAUUCUUCAUGUACUAUUACCGCUCACUCAAAAAUCAUUAUUAAUAACCAGAUCUAAUAUAGUUUUAGUUUGUUCUGACAUCUGAUGCAACAGCUUUGAUAUUGAUCCUGUAGAUCUCCGUUUCUAGAUUCCGGACCGGAAAUUUGUCUCUACUGCUAUCAAUAUUUUAUAAUGAAAAUGAAGAUCAUUGAGUGUUUGAUGUUGAUGUGAAAGUCGUUAAUAUGAACAGAGGUACAAAUGUCCAAGUUUCUAACGACCUUCGCAAAAAAAAGUUUGUAACGACCAAUGCAGUUAUAUCUGUUAUAAUAGCCUUUGUUCAAACAUGGUGCUUUAUUCAUCAUUGGAUCCAGUUUGUCUCAGUUGGGGCAUUGAUUCAUCAUUCAUGUCAUUAGUUACAUAUGAAAUUGUGCUUUGUGUUGGAGCGUGCAUCCCAACAGGUAUUUUGACUGUAUAUGCAUCGUUCCAUUUAUUUCCUUCUCUUCGAUAGCUCCACUUGCUUUCAUUGCAUUUACUCAUAUCAAUUGGGAUAUAGAUCCACUAUAUGGUUUGGCUUCUUGCAUCUGUAUUUCAGGUAUUGCAAGAUAAGUCCCAUAUGUAGAAACGGAUCAUUUUUUAGCUCUGUGAAUAAUCAUUUUAACUAAAUAUACAAAGACUAUUAGAUGAUGGACUGGAAUAGCUAGAUGACAUCCUUACUGUUUCUCUAAUAAUUAUAGGUAUACUCUAGAGGUUAAAGACUAGGAGCUAGAGUACAUAUUAAGUCCAAAUAACAAAGACGAGGGUGAAGCAGCUUAGAUCAAUGCGCAUGCUUUACACGGAAAGGCUUAAUACAUUUUCAAGGUCCAAAUAAGCACUAGGCGCUAAGCAAGCGGUGAGACAGAGCUUAGUGUAAUUGCAGCAUAGGCAAAGGUGCAACUUUAACGUAGCUUUUUUACUCUGGUAACAUAUUAACCCAGCAAGUUCUUACUAGAUAGAAAUGUUUAUUUUGCUUUCCAUUUUUAAAUAAACUAUUGUCAAAGAUAUUUGUUGAAUCUUUGUUCCUACUUACGUGGAACUGUUUUGUUCUUCCCAUAUGUCAUUAAACAAUCAUGUUAUGAUUGCAGUAGAGGUUAGGGUCGCUAUUCUUAUGAUGGGGUGUCUUUCCGAUUGAUUGGUGGGAUGGUCUAUUCUUAUCAUUUGGGUGUACUACAAAUACAUUAUUCAAACUUUUUUGGGGGAAAAGAGAUUGUAUUAAUUCCUAUGAGAAUGUUCAUAUAGUCAGAAAGAACGACACGGCCUAUUGCCUCUGGUACCUCAUGCAUCCACAGGCCAGCAGUGCCAUUUGUUCUUACCUAAUAUGGAGCUCAUUAGCCACACUAUUACAAUCUCUCUUCACUUUCUGAAAACUAUAAAACUGCAAAGCUUUUAUACUCUCUUUAAUAGAGUUGUAGAUAUUUCAGUGUCUAGAGAACUGUUUUGACUGCAAAGCUUUUCUACCCUCUUUAAUUUUGUAGAUAUUUCAGUGUCUAGAGAACUGUUUUGACUUGAGGAGUUCACAGCUUGGCACUUUUAAUGAUUACCAAUUUUUUAACCCAGGUAGCAACAAAUUUGAAGGCAUCAAUGCCACCAUGAUCAUGAACCACCAGGGCAUUGCUCGCCUCCCCUGUCUACUCAAUAAAAGGGGCAUAAACAUUGAUUUUUGUGCAGCCAGUAAUCGGGCGAGGUUAACCAUUAGCAGAUUAGGAAAUAGUGGCUGAGUUCAUAGGAGCCUGAUCUAAAAGAGCAGCGCUAAACAGAGGCCGACUUUUCUCUAUUCACUUAAAAACAGAUUUGACACUUGCUUUUGAAUAUAUCCACACGCUACACGUCGCCACAUGCCCACUCUUUCUUGCAACAGAAAUACUUUUGUUCUCCAGCUCAUGUCUACAAGAAAGGCACUGCGUGCCACCACGCCAGUCCCUAAGUUAAGGAGGAUAAGCAGGAAGAAGAAGCAGAGGCUGGGGUCUCUACUCUAAUCUAUUCCAUUCCUUUUGGUUUUACCACAUUGAUUCUCUCGCAACUAAUAGUUCUUUGCUUAUUUACCAGUGCAUAUCUCAAACAACUGGGCUGAACCCACAUGUAUGGAACUUUGUGUGUGUGUGAUGCUGAUUGUAUUCAUUUGACUAUAAAGUUCAGGUUUCUAUUCUUAGCUCAAUAUACAAAUUGAAGCUGAAGCCUUUAUAGGUAAGCAUGAAUUUUCCAGUUUUAGCUAACGCAGUAAACAACUCUUAUGAAUAGGGCAGGGUUUGAUAUUUAAAUACUGCAUUUUAUGUUGGCAAGGCGCUGAGCCGCUGAUGCUAUUUAGGAAGUUUCAUACUUAUGGUAUAAUUUUACGUUGAACUAGGAGAAGUUUUCAUAUGAUAUCUAACAUGGGUGCAACAAAUAAAAUCUUCAAUGUAGUAUAUAUGCACCCCAUAUAUUUGUUAUAUUUUCUCAUCUCUCUUCUAAUAUGGGACCAGCAAUAACGGUAGCUGCAGUUCACAAAUCAUUAACUUCAGGUCUCCCCUCAAAAAAAAAAAAAAAUCAUUAACUUCAGGUCUGGCUGCUUCCAAUAUGCUCAAUAGUGUCUUCUCGAAGUUUACUUCUGAAUUAAGAAAUGCGAACCAUUGAUCAUGGAUUUAUUAAGAAGGUAUCUCCAUGAUUGGUAUCCACUUAGAAAUUACACAAAAUAAAUAUGUAUGAUUAGUCCAUUGGAUAUUGAGGAUUUAAUCAUUAGUCCAUUGGAUAUUCUCCGAGGAUUUAAUCAAUUUCAGCUAUGGAUGCUGACUCAAUUUUCAAACCAAGGUAAAUAAAUCCCCUCCCCUAGAUAUUUUCUACUCAACCUUUCGCUUCAGAAAUUAGUAUAUGCACAAACAUGAACCUCUGGUUGCUUAAUUUAGUUUGUACAAAUAGUUGGUUUUCAUUUGUUGUCCUGUUUUUUUCCUGUGAAUAAGGGAUUGGAUGAAAGAUUAUCAUUGUCUUGCUCCUCUGAAUUGAGUUCACAAAGAAAUGAUAGUGGUUUGGACUUGUAGUCAGUAUUUGAAACCAAGUUAUUCUUAUUUCAGAGUAAUGAAUAUGUCUUUACCGUUGUUAAAUGCAAUAGUGGCUAUGAUUAUUGCAAAUAAGUAUGUGAUAAGUUCAUUUGUUUUUUCUAGCUCUCUAUUUGUUUAACUUUCCAUCUCUUUUUAGUAUUGUGUGUCCUAAGAUUGUUGGUCCAGAACAGAAUCACGUCAUUGUUCUGUUCAUUUGUUUGUGAGUUCUGACAAUAAUAUUCUUUUUUCCUGCGACACAUGUAUCUUUAUGGAUGACGAAUUUUCCCAUAAAUUUGUUCUAUGUGAAGGCAAUCAUGAGCGGAUGAUCUCUUUGGUUCUUCCUGCAAGGCAACGGUUCCUUUAGUUGUUCAUGUGGUAUCCUACUGUUUAUUUCUUUAGUGAUGACAGGUUAAGCAAUCAAUCCCGCUGUUGGGAAACUAAGUGAACUGUCGUUGUUGAUGGGAUAUUAUUGUUGGGUUCAUUGCUAUAAUGAGAAUGCUUUGGCAUAUAGUAUUUUCACAACUACUGAAGAAUGAUUCAAACAAGAUGGUGAAGGACAAUCCCAAAGUUCUCGACAAAGAUAGCUCAGGUGACCUUACUGUCCCUUCUGAGGUGAAAUACAUUUCUGUGGUGAAAUUUUUGAAAGACUUCAAGGUUCUCUAUGAUUUUUUUGAUUGCACAUCAGCGGUACAUUGAGACUUUCGUAUCUUUGAUGUAUCUUCUAAUUCUUGGUUGGUAACUGAGUCAGUAAUUCCAUAUAUAUAGACACUGCAAGUGGUAAACAUGCAUGCGAAAGAAUUAGAGCACAUCCAUGCUCUCUUCGACGCCGAAGCGGGGACUUUGGUGACAACGGACCGUACUCUGCUCCAACCAUCGAUUUCUUCAACAAAUACAAGAAUUCAUCAAUCUUUUCUCCAAUGAAAAGAACAAUAAGCUGAGCUCUGACUGCUUAGAGACCAGGGAACAGAGGCACUACGAGUUUUACUAUUCUACUUUACUAUUUCCUUAAGCUUUGAUCAAUAAAAAUAUGUUAGUAUGUAGGUCAAGUAGAACCUCCUGCCUUCCAUGUACCGCAUAUGUAAAAGCCCCCAUGAGCUAUCUAAUCAGAUUUGUCAA